rnacentral:misc_RNA from 1 species
UAUAGAUGUGGGUGCAUCCUAUUUAAGUCAAUUGCGCGUUUCAUGAACUAUGAAAAUUCAGUUCCAAACUUCCAGUGCAAUCUAGUGUUCACCAUCUUUUAUGGGCAAAAGGACUGCCUAUGGUCCUCUUGCUCUGCCACCUUCUAAACUAGUAUCCUAAUUAUAUGAGCAGCUCCAACACAAAAUUAAAAUUCAUCCAAAGUAGAUUCAUUAAUGCUCAAAUCAUUGCAGACAUAAAAAUAUUCAUCCUGGAAGUAAAA